UACAUAGGUUGCAAGCGUUAUCCAGAUUUACUGGGCGUAAAGCGAGCGCAGACGGUUAUUCAAGUCCGAAGUUAAAUACUGCAGCUUAACUGUAGUAUGCUUUGGAAACUAAAUAACUUGAGUAUAGUAGAGAUUGUUGGAACUCCAUGUGUAUCGGUGAAAUGAGUAGAUAUAUGGAAGAACACCAGUGGCGAAAGCGAACAAUUGGGCUAUUACUGACGUUUAGGCUCGAAAGUGUGGGGAGCAAAUAGG
rnacentral:rRNA from 1 species